GACAGAGGGUGCAAACGUUGUUCGGAAUUACUGGGCGUAAAGCGCGUGUAGGCGGCCAUCUAAGUCGGGGCGUGAAAUCCCACGGCUCAACCGUGGAAGUGCACUCGAAACUGGAUGGCUAGAGUCCUGGAGAGGAAGGUGGAAUGCUUGGUGUAGAGGUGGAAUUCGUAGAUAUUAGGAAGAACACCAGUGGCGAAGGCGGCUCACUGGUCCGGUACUGACGCUGAGGUGCGAAAGCGUGGGGAGCAAACAGG
rnacentral:rRNA from 1 species